AUUGAACGCUGGCGGCAUGCUUUACACAUGCAAGUCGAACGGUAACAGGGUGCUUGCACCGCUGACGAGUGGCGAACGGGUGAGUAAUGCGUCGGAACGCACCGAGUAAUGGGGGAUAACGCAGCGAAAGCUGUGCUAAUACCGCAUACGCUCUGAGGAGGAAAGCGGGGGACCUUCGGGCCUCGCGUUAUUCGAGCGGCCGACGUCUGAUUAGCUAGUAGGUGAGGUAAGAGCUCACCUAGGCGACGAUCAGUAGCGGGUCUGAGAGGAUGAUCCGCCACACUGGGACGGGGACACGGCCCAGACUCCUACGGGAGGCAGCAGUGGGGAAUUUUGGACAAUGGGCGCAAGCCUGAUCCAGCCAUGCCGCGUGUCUGAAGAAGGCCUUCGGGUUGUAAAGGACUUUUGUCAGGGAGGAAAUCCUUAGCGCUAAUACCGUUGAGGGAUGACAGUACCUGAAGAAUAAGCACCGGCUAACUACGUGCCAGCCGCCGCUGUAA
rnacentral:rRNA from 1 species